UACGAACCGUGCAAACGUUGUUCGGAAUCACUGGGCUUAAAGGGCGCGUAGGCGGCGCAUCAAGUCGGGGGUGAAAUCUUUCGGCUCAACCGGAAAAGUGCCUUCGAUACUGGUGCGCUCGAGGAAGGUAGGGGCCACGGGAACGACCAGUGGAGCGGUGAAAUGCGUUGAGAUUGGUAGGAACGCCGGUGGCGAAAGCGCGUGGCUGGACCUUCCCUGACGCUGAGGCGCGAAAGCUAGGGGAGCAAACGGG
rnacentral:rRNA from 1 species